CGAACGAGGGCGUGUCACAACUCAUUCGGUCCCGCUGCCUAGAUGGGCGAGCCAACCAGAAGCGUGCUGCUGCCCUUUUCACUGCCACUAUGCGGCAGGUUCCAGGUUCUUGUUCUGUGACCAGAAGAAUGAGGUACGUGGACACCGUGAUCAUAAGACAAGAAAUAUAUAAACAAAAAAUGAAACCAUGAAAAUAGAAGCAUUUAUAGAAGCUGCACUACAGCAUCUAAUCAGGAGGAUUUUUUUCCAAGCAUCAGUGACAGUGCUGGACUACACAGUGGAGGAACCUCGAAAACAUUUUGCUAAGUAAAAGAAGCUGGACAAAAAAUGGUCACAUGCUGUGUGAUUCCAUUUAUAUAAAAUAUCCAGCAUAGGGGAAAUCUAUAAAGAUAGAAAAUUGAUGCUUGACAGGGGCUGGGGAAACGGAGAUUGUGGAAUAAAUGCUUGAUACGCAUGGGAUUUCUAGAGAGGUGGUGAUUGUACAACAUUGUGAAUCUACAGAAUGUCACUGAAUGGUUCACUUUAAAAUGGUUAAUUUUAUGUUAUGUGAAUUCCCC
rnacentral:lncRNA from 10 species